AUUAAUUAAUUGUUGUUGUUGUCUAUGUUUUGAGACAACUUCACGUUUGUUGUGGUGGUGCUGGCACCUAUCGCCGCCGAUCCUCCACCGCUCCGGUCAGUCCAGUUGCGACCGUCGCGGAGUGCGCGUCCGUUGGUUGCCAUUGGUGAUCCCCCUGUUGGGAUACGUUUUCGUUUUGUUAUUGUUGUUGUUAUUUGUUAUUAUUGUUUUAACUACCCUUGACUACGAUAAGUGUCGUUCCGUGCGCUUCAUGAACAUUCCUCCAAUUGGAUUUCGAUUCUACUUUCUGUACAUGUACAAGAAGAAAACGCUGCAGAAAGAUUCACGAACCGUGGACCACGAAGCUCAGGGUUCUCAAACCGUGCGUGAUGAAUGGCUCGAAAAGUCAGUGUGUCAGAGAGGGUGAAGUGGUGAAGGGUGAAGAGUAGGCGGCGGCGGCGGCGGCGCACAAACAAAUUGCGGCGUAAAUAUCGACCGUCGCGACGGCUCGCUCAGCUGCUCCGGAUCACAGCUGAAGAAGAACAAUAACAUAGGAGCAGCGACGGUUCGUUUUUCGUGAUCGAGAACGCGCGCGUCCAAAAAAAAAA